GCAUAUCAAUAAGCGGAGGAAAAGAAACCAACAGGGAUUGCCCUAGUAACGGCGAGUGAAGCGGCAACAGCUCAAAUUUGAAAUCUGGCCCCCAGGCCCGAGUUGUAAUUUGUAGAGGAUGCUUCUGGCGCGGCGCCUUCUGAGUUCCCUGGAACGGGACGCCAAAGAGGGUGAGAGCCCCGUACGGUUGGACGCCUAGCCUUUGUGUAGCUCCUUCGACGAGUCGAGUAGUUUGGGAAUGCUGCUCAAAAUGGGAGGUAAAUUUCUUCUAAAGCUAAAUAUUGGCCAGAGACCGAUAGCGCACAAGUAGAGUGAUCGAAAGAUGAAAAGCACUUUGAAAAGAGGGUUAAACAGCACGUGAAAUUGUUGAAAGGGAAGCGCCUGUGAUCAGACUUGCGCGCGGCGGAUCAUCCGGCGUUCUCGCCGGUGCACUCCGCCGCGCUCAGGCCAGCAUCGGUUCCUGCCGGGGGAUAAAGGUGCCAGGAACGUAGCUCCCCUCGGGGAGUGUUAUAGCCUGGCUCGCCAUGCCCCAGCGGGGACCGAGGACCGCGCUUCUGCAAGGAUGCUGGCGUAAUGGUCACUAGCGACCCGUCUUGAAACACGGACCAAGGAGUCAAGCAUUAGGGCGAGUGUUUGGGUGUAAAACCCGCACGCGUAAUGAAAGUGAACGUAGGUGAGAGCUUCGGCGCAUCAUCGACCGAUCCUGACGUCUUCUGAUGGAUUUGAGUAAGAGCCUUACCGCUUGGACCCGAAAGAUGGUGAACUAUGCUUGUAUAGGGUGAAGCCAGAGGAAACUCUGGUGGAGGCUCGCAGCGGUUCUGACGUGCAAAUCGAUCGUCAAAUAUGAGCAUGGGGGCGAAAGACUAAUCGAACCAUCUAGUAGCUGGUUACCGCCGAAGUU
rnacentral:rRNA from 1 species